CAAGGCGGUGGGCGGUGUCCGUGCGAGUGACGUACCCCGCACCGCCUCCGACGGCUCCGCCCCCAGCCCCUGGCUCGCCUUCCUGGAAGCGCCCCACGCUGUCAGGCCUCGCUUCUCUUUGCAGCUGCUCCUGUGGCUUUGCUCCCGGAGCUCUUGACUUAGGCCAUCCGAGGUCACCUCUGGGCGCCUCCUGAGGCCUAUUUCCUCCUUGGAACAAGGUGGCAAAAGAUUCAGCUGGGACCAUGAGGAGCAGCAAAGCCAUCAAUAGAGGUACUUCAGCAGGCGGAAACUCUGAGGCUCCGGUAAGAAAGAAGAAGCCGCUUGCUAAGAAACGAAACUGGCACUGGUACGGGUGGCCAACAAGGGUUAGACUCCAGGCUUCAGAUUCCACGUCAGCUUCAAACAACCCUGUGGCUCCCUCAAGUCGUCCGAAGAUCACGUUGGAUUCACCCGGAGAGUCUCCCCAUUUCAAGAUCUUUGAUUUAAACCACCUCUGUAAAGCCUUUCCUAUCUGGAUCUGAAGGCAUCAUCACUUAGCUUACUAUUUUGGAAGGCCCUUCCGUGGUUAUACUCAGCUCCUCACCUGGGGAAGCUUUAUCUGAUCGACUCCUGCCUCCUCCCUUAUGACUGGGAGCCAUGCCUCAUCUGCCACAAGACAUAACAAGAAUAUGACAUCAACGAACCAGAGAACAAGUUCUCAUCAGACACUGAAUCUGAUGGCUCUGUCUGUCUGUUAGAGAUGCGGAGCCUCGGGAAGCCCAGGCUGGCUUCAAGCUCCAUACACAGCUGAGGAUAACCUUGGGUUUCUGGUCUUGUCUCCACCGGAGUGCUGGGAUUACUGACAUAUGCCAACACACCUGGUCUGUGCCGAGCUUUCAUGGGAGAAACUGGACCAAUUGAGCCAUCGGCAAUUCUGCCUUUUGUGUUAAAUCUCGAGGUUCUAAAACAGAAUUAGAUUUGCUUUGCUAAGCCUUGUAGUCUUGUGGUAGUUUGCCGCAGCAGCCAAAUGGGCUAAGCAGGCUGCUGCUUGCCUUUUAGACCAAGGCUCUGAAAGUCAUUUUCGGUUUUGAGCGUAUCUGUUUUCUCCUAGCUCAUGAGCCCACCCCUAUCCUCCUCAUCCCCUGGAAUGUCUGUCUUUCUGAAGCCUGACCUAUGCAGGUCGGGCUAGCCUCAAACUCACAGAGACCUCUGAUUAAAGGUGUGUGUCAAGCCUUGUUUUUAACCGUGUAUAGAUGUGGGGUAAGGGGGGCGGCCUCUGUGCAUAUGAGUACAGUGGUAUCAGACCUUCAAGAGGAUGUUAGAUCCCUUGGAGCCAUAGUUACAGGUGGUGUGAGUCACCAGACAAGGAUG